UUCCUCCCGAGGAGCAGGGCCCCAGCAUCAAGAACCUCGACUUCUGGUCCAAGCUGAUCACCCUCAUCGUGUCCAUCAUCGAGGAGGACAAGAACUCCUACACCCCCUGCCUCAACCAGUUUCCCCAGGAGCUGAAUGUAGGCAAGAUCAGCGCUGAGGUGAUGUGGAACCUGUUUGCCCAGGACAUGAAGUACGCCAUGGAGGAGCAUGACAAGCAUCGCCUGUGCAAGAGCGCGGACUACAUGAACCUGCACUUCAAGGUCAAGUGGCUCUACAACGAGUAUGUGACGGAGCUGCCUGCCUUCAAGGAUCGCGUGCCCGAGUACCCCACGUG